rnacentral:rRNA from 1 species
AAACAUUGCCUCUAGAUUAUUUUAUUGGAGGUUCAUCCUGCCCAGUGACGUACGCGUUAAACGGCCGCGGUACCCUGACCGUGCUAAGGUAGCAUAAUCAUUUGCCUUUUAAUUGGAGGCUUGUAUGAACGGAUAAACGAAAGUUUUGCUGUCUCUUCAAUAACCAUAAAAAUUAUUCUUUAGGUGAAGAAACCUAGAUAUAUUAAAAAGACGAAAAGACCCUGUGGAGCUUUACUUAUAAAAGCACUUUAUUGAUAUUCAAAAAUAUACAACAUGCUUUGAAAGUUUAGUUGGGGCGACUAAGGAGUAAAAAAAAACCUCUUUAAUCUAUAAGAGCAAUACUUCAAUUCAAUGAUCCACUUUAGUGAAUAAAAAAUCAGCUACCCCAGGGAUAACAGGCUAAUCCUUCUCACGAGUUCACAUUUACAGAAGGGGUUGGCACCUCGAUGUUGGCUUAAGGUGUCUUCAAGGUGCAGCAGCUUUGAUUUAGUGGGUUUGUUCAACCCUUAAAACCUUACGUGAUCU